CAUGCAAGUCGAGCGGCAGCGGGAAAGUAGCUUGCUACUUUUGCCGGCGAGCGGCGGACGGGUGAGUAAUGCCUGGGAAAUUGCCCAGUCGAGGGGGAUAACAGUUGGAAACGACUGCUAAUACCCCAUACGCCCUACGGGGGAAAGCAGGGGACCUUCGGGCCUUGCGCGAUUGGAUAUGCCCAGGUGGGAUUAGCUAGUUGGUGAGGUAAUGGCUCACCAAGGCGACGAUCCCUAGCUGGUCUGAGAGGAUGAUCAGCCACACUGGAACUGAGACACGGUCCAGACUCCUACGGGAGGCAGCAGUGGGGAAUAUUGCACAAUGGGGGAAACCCUGGUGCAGCCAUGCCGCGUGUGUGAAGAAGGCCUUCGGGUUGUAAAGCACUUUCAGCCAGGAGGAAAGGUUGGCGCCUAAUACGUGUCAACUGUGACGUUACU
rnacentral:rRNA from 1 species